ACCUUUGACCUCAGACACGUGCAAGAGGGAACUUUUGGGGGGUAGGAGGGGUUGGGGUGGGCAUGUGACCGCCGCCAUUUUGAAGUCAUGCCCGGAAAUGCGUCAUUUCACGAAUGGAAACGUAAACCAUUUUUGACAAUGAUGUGCGUGGUUUUGAUUAGAAAUUUGCCAUUUCAGUGGGUGUUUUAUGCGAUGAGCGUUAGUUUUGACCGGAAACACGGGACUGUAGGAGGGGUUUCAUCAUAUAUAUAUAGAGGUGUUAUUUGGCGCCUCGAUCGAACUUUCCUUUGGACUGGUUCACGCUACAGGAUUCUAAGUGAAACAGCAGAGGCCUAUCCCAGUGUGGUCCCAGGGGCGUCUUCUUCUUCUUCUAUUCAAAGAUACAGCCACGGUUCACUUCUUGACACCCUGGCAGACUGGUGCAUCCUCACAUUUAAGACAUUUCCAGCGAGAGCCAGAUGUACUACAAGGGGGGAGCAAUGGACCAGAUAUGUG